GUGCUCCCUCUGGGAGGACAUAGGCUGAAACUGGACCCACACAGAGGAGGGCAGCAUGGCCCCUGCCUAAGGAUGACGUGCAGUUCUGUGACGUGCUCCAUAUUUUA
ensembl:snRNA U6 U6 spliceosomal RNA